rnacentral:rRNA from 1 species
AGCGAACGCUGGCGGCAGGCCUAACACAUGCAAGUCGAACGAACUCUUCGGAGUUAGUGGCGGACGGGUGAGUAACACGUGGGAACGUGCCUUUAGGUUCGGAAUAACUCAGGGAAACUUGUGCUAAUACCGAAUGUGCCCUUCGGGGAAAAGAUUUAUCGCCUUUAGAGCGGCCCGCGUCGGAUUAGCUAGUUGGUGAGGUAAAGGCUCACCAAGGCGACGAUCAGUAGCUGGUCUGAGAGGAUGAUCAGCCACAUUGGGACUGAGACACGGCCCAAACUCCUACGGGAGGCAGCAGUGGGGAAUCUUGCGCAAUGGGCGAAAGCCUGACGCAGCCAUGCCGCGUGAAUGAUGAAGGUCUUAGGAUUGUAAAAUUCUUUCACCGGGGACGAUAAUGACGGUACCCGGAGAAGAAGCCCCGGCUAACUUCGUG